rnacentral:lncRNA from 1 species
UUUUUUUUUUUUUCCCCAAGUAAAGUAUUAUAAUCCCUUCACAUUUCCUUUUGUGUGUUUUCUAUAGCUAUUUUCCUUGUGAUUACUAUGGGGAACCACAUUUAAUAUCCCAAUGUUAUAUGCUCUGAUUCAAAUUAAUACCAGAUUAACUUUAACGGCAGAAAAACGCUGGCCCUUUACAGUUCCAUCCCCACCACUUUCAAUUGUUGUCACAAAAUUUCAUAUUCAUAUAAUGUGCUCCCUAAAGCAUAAACUUACUGAUUAAAUGAAUGAGUCUCUUAAAUUAUGUAGGAAACAAGAAGGUGUGUAACAAUUCUAGACCAGUGUUACAAUAAUACUUGUUUUUAUAAUUAAUUGUCCACAGAUUUACUUUUCUGAGAUCUUUCUUUAUAAAACUUUGAGUUACUGUCUAGGGUUCUUUUAUUUCACCUUUCAGGGCUCCUAUGAGAACUUCUUGCUUGCUACCAAGUCUAGUGAUAAUCAAUUCCAUCAGUUUUUGUUUAUCUAGCCAUGUCCUAAUUUCUCCCUCACUUUUGAAGGACAGUUUUGCCAGAUAUGGAAUCUUCGGUUGAGACAAUUUUUUUUAUUUUAGCAUUUAGAAUAUAUUGGCCCACUGCCUUCCAGCCUCAAAAGUGCAUGAUGAGAAAUCUGCUGAUAAUCUUAUUGACGAUCUCUUGUAUAAGUUGCUUUCUGUUAUUACUCUCAAGAUUAUCUCUUUGUCCUUGGCUUGUGAAUAUUUGAUAAUAAUAUGUUUCAAUGUGGAUGUGUAAGUUCAUUUUACUUUGGGUUCAAUUAGCUUCUCAUAUGUGUAUAUUCACAUCUUUCAUCAAAUUUGGGAAAUUUUCAUUUAUUAGUUAAAAUAUUCUCUCUGCCCCCCUCUCUCUCCUUCUAGGAUAACCGUAACAUAUAUGUUGUGUGCUGAUCAACAUGACAUAAGCAAGAUCUUCUUUAAUCUUUUCUAAAUUUUAUUCAUAUAUAGUUGAUUUAAAAUGUGUUGGAGUUACCGUUGUGGUGCAGUGGUUAACAAAUCCGACUAGGAACCAUGAGGUUGUGGGUUUGACCCCUGGCCUUGCUCAGUAGGUUAAGGCUCCGGUGUUGACGUGAGCUGUGGUGUAGGUCACAGACGUGGCUCAGAUCCUGUGUUGCUGUGGCUUUGGUGUAGGCCGGCAGCAACAGCUCCAAUUAGACCCCUAGCCCGGGAACCUCCAUAUGCUGUGGGAGCAGCCCUAGAAAAGGCAAAAAGACAAAAAUAAAAAUAAAAAUGAAAUAAUAAAAUGUUAUGUUAGUUUCAGGCAUAAAGUGAUUCAAAUGUAGAUACAUUAUAUAUGUGUGUGUGUGUGUGUGUGCACACUAUCUUUUUUUUUCUCUUCCAUUAAAGGUUAUUAAAAGAUACUGAGUAUAGAUCCCUGUUCUAUACAGUAGGUUGUUCUUGAUUAUCCAUCUUACAUAUAAUAGUAUGUAUACUGUAAUUCCCAUCUCCUAAUUUAUCCCUUUCUCCUCAUUCCCUUGGUAGCCCUAAGUUUGUUUUCUAUGCCUGUUCCAAGAUUUUAUUUUGUAAAUAUCUUUAUUUGUAUCCAUGUUUUUGACUCUUCACAUAUCCAAAAUAUUUAAGCAGCUCAAUUUAAAAAAUAAUAAUAAUAACCCAAUUAAAAAAUGGACAGAAGAUCUAGGAGUUCCUGUUGUGGCACAGUGGAAAUGAAUUUGAUGUACUAUCCACGAGCACGCAGGCUCAAUUCCUGAUUUUGCUCAGUGGAUUAAGGAUCUGGUAUCACCAUGAGCCAUAGUGUAGGUCACAGACAUGGCCCAGAUCCCACAAUGCUUGGCUGUGGCAUAGGCUGGCAAUUACAGCUCCGAUUUCCACCCCUAACCUGGGAACCUCCAUAUGCCACACAGCUGUGGNNNNNNNNNNNNNNNAAAAAAAAAAAAAAAAAAAAAAAAAAGAAAAAGUGAGCAGAAGUUCUAAACAAACAUUUCUCCAAAGAAUACAUACAGAUUGCCAAAACCACAUGAAAAUAUGCUUAAUAUCAUAAUUAUUACAGAAAUGAAACUCAAAACCACAAUGAAGUAUCAUCUCACACCAGUCAGAAUAGUCACCAUCAAAAAAGUCUACCAACAAUAAAUGCUGGAAUGGAUACAGAAAAAAAGGGAACCCUCUCACACUGUUGGUGGGAAUGUAAAUUGGUACAACCACUAUGGAGAAGAGUGUGGAGGUUCUUUUAAAAAACUAAAAAUAGAACUAAUCCAACAACUUCACCCUGGGCAUGUAUUGAGAGAAAACCGUAAUUCAAAAAGAUACAUGCACCCCAAUGUUCAUUGCAGCACUAUUUACAAUAGCCAAGGCAUGGAAGCAACCUAUGCGUCCAAUGACAGAUGAAUGUAUAAAGAGGAUGUGUAUAUAUCUAUUUCCAUAUAUAUGUACUUAUAUAUAUGAAUAUUACUUAAUCAUAAAAGGAACAAAAUGCCAUUUUCAGCAACAUGGAUAGACCUAAAGAAUAUAUCAUAUUAAGUGAAGCCCCAAGAGAGAAAAGCAAAUACAUGAUAUCACUUCCUCAGAUCUUUUCCAAGCCUAUGCCUUGCCCUGGGCAAAUGUGAUCACUUUCCUAAUAUUCAGUUGUUUUUAAGUCCCUAGUCUUUGAUGUCUGGAUCCCAAAAGGGGAAUAGAGAAAAAUUAAGAGUGUGGAGAAUGCUGGCUCUUUAAGUCCCCUGAAGUUGCUUCAGCUGGAAGAAGGGGGCUUACAGCAAUAGCUGCCUGUUUCUUUGUCUGAAGCUCUAUGACCAGAAUCAAUAAUGAGUGAUCAGAGAACAAAUCCAGAAGUAUUGGAAAAUACUUUUCCCACUCCCACUCCAACUAAGUAUGCGUAAGCUGCUCAAGGAACAUGUGCACAGAUGCCUGCCACAAGGCUGAGGAAAAGAGAUGGGUAGCUGCUAACUGGACUAAGUGCUAAAAGUGACCAAAAUUAACUACAAUUUAUCAUUCAAGCCUUCCCUGGAAGUUACAGGCCGUGCACACUCCAGAAUUCCAAAAAAGUGCUAUCUCAGACAGCUUGUGCCAAUGCCACCUUCGUCUGGGUGAAGAGACACAUUCCUGGAGCUUCCUAUUCCACCAUCUUCCCAGAAUCUUCUCCAUCUAUUUCUUUCUUUUUUUAACAAUAUAUUAAGCCAUCAAAAUUUAGUUGAUGGAGUGCUCAAGGAAGUGUAACCACCUUGAAUUGUAUUAAAGAUAUACCACUAAGAGCUUCCUUUUGUUGAUUGCUACUGUUGUUGAUUUGCCUGUUCCAUUAUUUCAAUGUUUUAAUGUCUUCCUAAUCACGUGAUACAUUUAGAAGCUCUUAACUAUUGUCUCCAUCUCCUAUAUCCCCAGCUUCCAUUUAUAAUCUGAUGUAUGUUCUGGACAGCUUCUUUCUCAUAUAAAUUAUUAGACUACAAGAUUUACUUUGCUUAUUUUCUAAGUAAGCCUAUGAAUUGGUUCCAUUAUGUGGAAACUGACAUUCUUCAGAUUGCCAAGAAGGUAUACAGAAACACAUCAAUAUAAAUCACAAUUAUUUUAAGAAAAAUUAAUAGGAAUGUGUUAAUACAAAGGAGAACAAAAAGUAUCGAAUACUUUGAAAUGGGCUGGCUGGCCAGACAUAGAUGAUGCCUCAAUACUUAUGAGUGUUUCCCCAUCAAUUUUUAUUUGUAUGUUGCACUUACUGAAGAGGCAUAAGUGGGGAUAAUAUAAUACAUAAUAUAGUAGCUAGUAUCGGAACACAUGCUGAUUUUAAGAAAGAACCACUGAGUAAACAAAAACUUGUUUUGGUUCUGAUUUUUGUUUUGAGACAGCAAAAAUCAGAGUGAUUUUAAGGGAAAAAAAUCUAUAUGAUUGUCAGUCAACAAUAUAUAAUACUUGAUGAUAAUGCUAAAAAUUCUAGCUUGUAUUUUUCAUUUAUCAUAUUCCAGAUACAGUGUGUAUGUGUUACUUAUGCUGUUAAUUUUCCAGAAACUCUAAUACGUAUGUAUCUUCUUUAUCACAGAUUUUUUUCAAGAGUAGCUCAGAGAAAAUAAGUUAUGAUUAACCUCAAAAGAGUUUCAUUCAUUUGCACAUACUACACAAGUAAACUUUCACAAUAGGUAAAUAACUUAAGGGAAAAUGCUGUAGAGUAAAGUUUGUAUUAGUGCAUAGAGGACAUAUGCCAAGUAGCAAACUGCAAGCAAGAGAAGGAGUUGAGUGUUCUGGAUGAAGUCUGUUUCUGAAGAGCUUUAGGUUGGUCACUUUAGAAUAUUUAUUAUCACAGAUCAAUGUUACAAUUCAAGUGAGAACUAGUGGAAGACACUUCUGCAGUACUAGCAGCAAUGUACCAUCUCUGUAAUGUUAUUAAGACUACCGAAGGCCAUUGCUCUUGAGAAGCUGGCAAUGGGGGAAAGAUAAAUUUUAACACAAAGAGAGAAAGAGAGACAACCAAGUAAUUAUCUAUAACAGGAUUUCAAAUCAACUGCAGAAGGAAGACUGGGUUGUGAAAGGUAUGCAAAGUAUCAUUAUUGUGGAAAUUUUGUGAGAAGUGAAGAAAGAAGACAACUGCUAGUCCGUAGUGUAGUGUGAUGACUAAAAGCUGGUCUCUGAAUUCUGACAGCUUUGGUUGGCAUCUUGGGCUCUCAAUUAGCUAGCUUGGGAUCUUGGGAUAAUGUAAGUUCUCUACACUGACUGGAUGAACUUAAAGAGUUCUCCGUCCUUCCCUAAACUGCGCAGUUGAAUGUCCACUGUGCCUUGUGUAAUUGUGGCUGACAAGGUGAUUGUGGAAUCAAGACAUCAUAUGCUCCACGCUUCUUUUCCCACCAGUUUAGUUCCCCACAAGAUGCAGGUGGAGGGAAAAAUUUUUUUUUUCUAAAUAUUUACGACAACUGUACCUGCUAUUAUAAUUUAAUUUAAUUAAGAAAUUUAAUUAAGUAAUACAUAAGUGAUUGAAACGUUAACUAUUGACAGAAAAGGCUUUUUUCCUUCCAUGCUGAGUGUGUUAGAAAAAAAAAAUGUAUCUUUGAACUACACAGGAGAAAAAUUCUGGUGAAUUAGUUGUAAGAGAUCUGUGAAAAAGGUUUGAACACAAAUUCCUUUCUAGGUCCCCUUGAAGUACUUUUUCUCCUGAACCAAAAAUUAUAGAUCAUUCGCAGUAACAAUGUCUUAUGAUAGAAAAGACUUCAUGGGUCCCCAUCAAUGGAAACACAUGGAAAAAAAAUACUUUCUGACCCUACUCAAAAAGCUAU